rnacentral:rRNA from 1 species
AGAAUCAACGCUGGCGGCGUGCCUAACACAUGCAAGUCGAACGAGAAAGUGGAGCAAUCCAUUAGUAAAGUGGCGCACGGGUGAGUAACACGUGACUAACCUACCCUUGAGUGGGGGAUAACCUAGGGAAACCUGGGCUAAUACCGCAUAAUACCUACGGGUCAAAGGAGCAAUUCGCUUUAGGAGGGGGUCGCGGCCGAUUAGUUAGUUGGCGGGGUAAUGGCCCACCAAGACGAUGAUCGGUAUCCGGCCUGAGAGGGCGCACGGACACACUGGAACUGAAACACGGUCCAGACUCCUACGGGAGGCAGCAGUGGGGAAUUUUGCGCAAUGGGGGAAACCCUGACGCAGCAACGCCGCGUGGAGGAUGAAGCCCCUUGGGGCGUAAACUCCUUUCGAUCGGGACGAUAAUGACGGUACCGAGAGAAGAACGCCCGGCUAACUUCGUGCCAGCAGCCGC